rnacentral:rRNA from 1 species
UGGGGAAUAUUGGACAAUGGGGGCAACCCUGAUCCAGCCAUGCCGCGUGUGUGAAGAAGGCCUUCGGGUUGUAAAGCACUUUUGUACGGGAAGAAAUCGUUUGGGUUAAUACCCUGAGCGGAUGACGGUACCGUAAGAAUAAGCACCGGCUAACUUCGUGCCAGCAGCCGCGGUAAUACGAAGGGUGCAAGCGUUACUCGGAAUUACUGGGCGUAAAGCGUGCGUAGGCGGUUUGUUAAGUCAGAUGUGAAAUCCCCGGGCUCAACCUGGGAAUGGCAUUUGAUACUGGCGAGCUAGAGUACGGUAGAGGGUGGUGGAAUUCCCGGUGUAGCGGUGAAAUGCGUAGAGAUCGGGAGGAACAUCUGUGGCGAAGGCGGCCACCUGGACCAGUACUGACGCUGAGGCACGAAAGCGUGGGGAGCAAACAGGAUUAGAUACCCCGGUAGUCCCUGAGCGGGCUGGCAAGGCGCAU